GGGGUGUCAGGAGCUGUAGAAGGGACUCAUGCUGCUGGAGAAAUGGAGCAGUACAAACCUUAUCAGGCACAAGAAAGGAGGCCUUGAGAUUUCUAGAUAUUCACCCGGAACAGAAUCCCACACCACUAGAUUCACCAUGGAGCUGUUCCAGGGCACUAAGCCCACUGGACUAGCCUGUCCAAUCACACAGCCCAGCAUCCAAUCUCUAGAAGCAUGAGCCAAGAGGGAACAGAAAAUGUGUAUCAGACGGGAACUACAGAAUGACCUCCUCCUACCCAGAAGUACCUAUCUGGGUCCUAUCUAGGAACUGGAGCACCAAGAACUUUGUAAUAAUAAUAAUUCCAGAGUCCACAUGGAGGGAAUAUAAAAUCUCCCAGAAGCCACUGAGCUCCAGCAGCAUGAACAGGGUAGAGAGCAGGAUCUGCCAAUAUUGCUCCACUGAUUCUACCACUUGACACUCUAGGGCACUGGCCUCAGUUAUCUGCAGCAACCUCCAGGGGUGGCCUGUGAAGACCCAGUUCCCAGAAGCCAUUGCACUUUAGCAGCUAUCAUUUGGAGAAAAGAGCUGGCACAGCCUCAACCAUCUCCUAACUACAGUUGGGUAAAAUUUUUCAGCUGGGGGGGGGGUUUGGUGAAUUCAUAUCAGUUUUGCAAAAUUGUUCAUGUAGAAAAAAGAAUUGCAAAAAAGUUUAAACGCUUCAUUUUGACAUUUUCAAAAAGGAAACAUUUCAAUUUUCAUUUAGAAAUCCCUUUUUGUGUCAACAUUUUCUUCAAUGUUAAUGAAAAAAUAAAAAUUCAAAAUCA